AGAGUUUGAUCAUGGCUCAGAGUGAACGCUGGCGGCAGGCCUAACACAUGCAAGUCGAGCGGCAGCGCGUCCGACCACCCUCGGGUGGUCGGAUGGCGGCGAGCGGCGGACGGGUGAGGAAUGCAUCGGAAUCUGCCUCGUUGUGGGGGAUAACGUAGGGAAGCUUACGCUAAUACCGCAUACGACCUACGGGUGAAAGUGGGGGACCUUCGGGCCUCACGCGAUGAGAUGAGCCGAUGCCGGAUUAGCUAGUUGGCGGGGUAAAGGCCCACCAAGGCGACGAUCCGUAGCUGGUCUGAGAGGAUGAUCAGCCACACUGGAACUGAGACACGGUCCAGACUCCUACGGGAGGCAGCAGUGGGGAAUAUUGGACAAUGGGGGCAACCCUGAUCCAGCCAUGCCGCGUGUGUGAAGAAGGCCUUCGGGUUGUAAAGCACUUUUGUUGGGGAAGAAACCGGCCGGGUUAAUACCCUGGUUGAAUGACGGUACCCAAAGAAUAAGCACCGGCUAACUUCGUGCCAGCAGCCGCGGUAAUACGAAGGGUGCAAGCGUUACUCGGAAUUACUGGGCGUAAAGCGUGCGUAGGCGGUUUGUUAAGUCUGCUGUGAA
rnacentral:rRNA from 1 species